rnacentral:rRNA from 1 species
GAUGAACGCUGGCGGCGUGCCUAAUACAUGCAAGUCGAGCGAACGGACGAGAAGCUUGCUUCUCUGAUGUUAGCGGCGGACGGGUGAGUAACACGUGGAUAACCUACCUCUAAGACUGGGAUAACUUCGGGAAACCGGAGCUAAUACCGGAUAAUAUUUUGAACCGCAUGGUUCAAAAGUGAAAGACGGUUUUGCUGUCACUUAUAGAUGGAUCCGCGCUGCAUUAGCUAGUUGGUAAGGUACCGGCUUACCAAGGCAACGAUGCAUAGCCGACCUGAGAGGGUGAUCGGCCACACUGGAACUGAGACACGGUCCAGACUCCUACGGGAGGCAGCAGUAGGGAAUCUUCCGCAAUGGGCGAAAGCCUGACGGAGCAACGCCGCGUGAGUGAUGAAGGUCUUCGGAUCGUAAAACUCUGUUAUUAGGGAAGAACAUAUGUGUAAGUAACUGUGCACAUCUUGACGGUACCUAAUCAGAAAGCCACGGCUAACUACGUG